AUGUGGCACAAACACGUUCGCCUCUUUCCGUUUAGGAUGCCAAAGAAAUACUUGACGGUGUUCAACAGUAUAUUUAUGAACAAUCCUCGCUUUCGACUGUUUUCAUACAAUUCUCGAUUCCAACUGACCUUUCUCGCUUCUCGGUUACAAUUCGACUGUUUCCUUAAUCCGAUUCGUUUGUUUCUGUCGCCCAAUAUCCCCACUACGCACGCGUUCGUUAGACGUUCGCGACCGUUGCCAUGUAGCCUUCUUUGAAAUAUUUGACGGAAGGACCGUAAAAAUAUCGACGCUUCUGUGAUAUACUUUGUGCCGAUGAAACCGUUGGAAAGUUUUGUUCUCGAGUGCCGCUGUAGUUGGAUUAGUCGAAAGAGGAGUGAUGAAAUUCGUUGCAUUCUAAAAAAUAAAUUAGUCCUGCUCGCUGCGUUUUUUGUGUCUGUUAAUCACCACGAGCUGCGUAUAGCCCUGAGAGGUUAUGAUAACGAGACAACAAAGAUUGUGACUGUUUCAAACGCGACGGAGGAUUAAGAUGAGCAGGUUCUCUGAAUUUCUACGGAUUUUCAUAAAUUCUUUUCAUCCUUUGUCGGUGCAAUUCCGAGCAGACAAAAAGUUGGACAGUUAAAAAGAACUAUCAGAUUUCACAGAAAAUGAGAAUAAAAGAAACGAAAAGAAAUGAAAGAAAAAAAAAGGAAACGAGAAAUGUAACGUUAAAGCUGCCAUAGUUGAAAUUUAAAAUUUGAAAAUCUACACAUUUCUUAAGAAUAAAUGGGAUUUAAAGGAUUGAAAUAAAACAUAAAUUACUUGA